GAAAUCCCUAGCUCAAUUGGGAAUCUUUCUUCUCUCAAAGUACUUGGACUAGAGGCUUGCAAGUCAUUGAGAGAAAUCCCUAGCUCAAUUGGGAAUCUUUCUUCUCUCAAAUACCUUAACCUUUACGGGUGUUGUUCACUAAAAGAAAUUCCUACCUCAAUUGGGGAUUUACCGAAUUUGCAAAGCAUUGGGGAUUUUUGACCUUGAAUAGUUACCCAUUGCUAUUGGAUGGUUGAACAAACCACCAAAGGCUAUUUCUUGAAUCUUGUGAUAGUCUAAAAGGGGGAAUUCCAAGAGAAAAUGAUGACUUGUCUUCACUCGUGAUUCUCCAUAUCACUGGCACAUUGAUAUUUGACCCACCAGAAAGCAUAUGGAAUCUUUCUUCUCUCUAAUGCCUUGACCAAGAGGGCUGUAAGGAGCUCGAUCGUUGCUAGAGCUUUCUUCCGGCUUAACAUAUCUUCAAGUCAAUUCCCGAUUCCCAGGUUGCCAGAGCUUUCUUACCUAUUCCACUUGGAAGAACUUCAUUUUUAUGGAUACGAUCAACUUGAGUACUUCCCAAAGCUUACCUCAAGACUCUUGAAACUUUGUGUUGACUCCUAUCCUAAGUUGAUAUUGCCUGAGCUUGACGGAUUCAAGUACUUGGAAGAGUUGUCAAUAAAACACUACAAUUCCAUUGAAAGAAUGGACCUCUCACAAUCGAAUCUUCUGAAAGGAUUGGACAUUGAGGAUUGCAAUAAUCUAGUUGAAAUUUAGGGCCAAGGUAAAUUGGAGUUCUUGGAGACAAUACAUACAUAUAGCUGCAAGUCCAUUAGAAGGCCGAUCCAUCUGAAAUUAUGAGGGCUUGAAGCAAUUAAAUACUUGCUAUUGCGACAAUCUAGUCAAAUACAAGGUCUUGAUAAGGUGGAGUUGUUAGAGAUGUUCAAUGUCUUUAAUCGUGGUUCCAUCAAAAGAUUACCUGACCUAUGAUGCUUUUGGAACUUGAAAGAGUUGAAUAUCAAUGGUUGUCAUAAUCUACGUGGUGUGGAGACUCAAUUCCCAGUCUUACAUAAUUGCAAGAGUGGGGAAGUCGGUCCUAGAAGCUAACAUGAUGCUUCAGCCAAGAUCAAAAUUUAGAUCCGAUUGUGGUUCUUCAUACAUUAGAAGGCGUUGGUCAUCUGAUAGAUUGGCGGCUUGUGAGGCAACAAAUGAAAAUUAACGACAUAGGUAAACAAGAAUUACUUAGUGAUUUAUAGUUUCCCUCUUGGUAAACCCAAGAUGAGAAUUUUUCAUCAAGAGGUUGAUCUUCUGCAACUCAAUUUAUAAACUGCGCGCCAGAUCCCUUUUUUCUCUAUGUCUCAAACUAGUAUUUUCCUUUAAAAAAUCCUUCGCCAUUUUGAACUCCUUUUGUGAGCAAUUUUAUGUGUCAGAUUUGACUAUUGGUAGAUAUCCUGUUUAGGACAAACAGCUCUCGAUUUUUCGUGAUGAUGGGAAAGCCUGUCCAUUGUUCAUUUGAGCAUGAAUUCCCAGUAAGGAAGAUAAACUGAGCUAAAAUAAAAAUCAAGGUUCAAUUUUUUUUUUUUUUUUGGUGCAUGAUUUAAAAAAGUAAAAAUUAGUUUUGGCUAGCCUUUUCUAUCUAUGAUUGUAGGCAGGCUUUCCAUAAACAAUUGUGAGAUUGUUGAAAGAUUAUCAAGCGAGAUAAAUUGGUGCUACUUUUGUGACAGGUCCGGUUGGUCUAUGUAAUGAUCAAGGCUUACUUUUGGACUUCAAUUCAAAGAGCUGUAUAGAUGACCUUUUGCAUAAUUGGGACAAUUUUUUGCCUGCUCUGUAAAACAAGCUAGGCGAGGAGCUUAAGAUUUUGCUUAUUAUUUUGCAUCCCGUUUGAUCCUGAUGUUGUCGUGGAAUCAUUUUAUCAAAUGAUUGAUCUGGGUCUGGCUAACUUGGCUGAGGCAAUUCAUAGUCCAUACCAGAGAACGAUCAAAUGAAGAAGAGGGAUUUUGCUGAGGUGUCAUCAGCAACAACUAAAGGCUAGCUUUUGUGCGACCUUGAAUAGGCUCACGGGCCAACUGGAGUGUCCUAAGGAAGUUUUUUAUGCCUGUGAAGAUCAAAGCACUUGAUAUGGUUUCAUCAGCACAAAACUGAAUGAUUGUGAAUGUAUUAUUUUUCAGUUGAAUCUACUUUUUGUAUGCUCAUUAGGUUCUACCUCUAUUAAGCAAAUACAUACGUGCUGAUUUUUCUACAUGUUAACCAGAUGCAGAGUUCUUUGAUGCAAUGCGCUCUAAUGGUAUCAUUCCCAAACUUAGUCAGGCUUUGCAGCUAGAGGUAUGCACUGCCAGUCCUACCAUAACUGUGAAAGAGUGACUUGUGUACUUAUAUUUAAUUGAAUGUGCUGUGUGCUUGUUAGGUUCUACCUCUCUGUUAAUCGAAUAUGUACAUGCUGAUUUUUCUGCAUGUUACCCUGAUGCGGAGUUGUUUGAUGUGGUCUCGUUCUAAUGAUAUCACUUUCAAACCCAAUGAGGCUCUGCAGAUGGAGAGACCCCUGGAAUGUGUGGCAAAACUAAUGUCCCCAGAUUUUGGUGUUGAUAGAUGAGAUUCAUUGAAGAGGUCACUCGUAGAUCGCCAGAAUCUAGACCAGGUCAAAAUAACCUUGUUUAUAUUGAUGGACUCUCAAGUCUAUGCUUACUACUUUCAGCUAAUUUUAGGUUCUUCAUUCCAAAUACAUCUAAAAAUAGACAGAACUAAGGAUCCAUGCAGCCGUGCCUUUAUCUCUCUUCGAGAUGAUUGGAAAGUGUGACACAUUUUUACUCUCAACCAUCUCGUGUAACACAUGCAUCGCCCUCAUUUUCUGACCAUCUUUAGCAAGUGCCCGGGUGGAGACUAGUUAUAAGUCUUCUAAGGUUGAAUUUGUUAGUGUUCGUAACUUUUGAUGAAAUAUCAUAAACAACCUGAAUUUAUCAUUCAUUCUUUUCCUGAAUCUAUCACGAAGUACAUAUGUAGCUAGUAGAAUUAUAAUUAUUUUCAAAAUCUCAUGUGACAACAGCUGAUUGGAAAAGCCAAUGAGUGUGAGACCCAAAUACAGGGUUUACAUUUGAUGAUGCGGUUCAAAUUAUAAGAGACACCUUUGGGUCGUCCAAAACUUCUUAACAACUUGCCUCGAAGGACAACCAAGAGAAGGGAACAAAAUCUCACCAAGGAAUGAAGAAGGAGAAGGAGAAGGGGAAGGAGAAGAAGAAGAUUGCCUCAACUGAGUUGACAACAAAAUUGCAGCUACCACUGCUACCGGGACCUUCUCAUGUGGACUCCGGUGCCACCUCCUCUGUGGUAUACUGGGGUUUAUACCGAUAAAUUGUUGAUACUCCCUGCAAUAACCGCCGACGAUCGUGGUGUACAUGGUCACAUCUAGCUCUCAGCCUGUGUCUUCCAAAUUCUUCAGCAAUCGAACGGCUUUUCCAGUAUUGCCGGUUCUGCACAAUCCCUCAUCAUGGCUUGGCACGUGGUUAUAUCUACCUCGAUUGUCUGGCCAACAUUUCAUCCGCCAAGCUCAUGGCUUUGGCGAUUCUACCCUCUCCAACGAGCCCAUUGAUCAAAGUGUUAAAAGCUCGCAGUUGUGGGUUCAAGUCCAAGUUUGACCAUUUUACACAAAACUGAGGACCCGAGAUCGGAUCUUUUCAAUUGGCAGAGGUAAUUCAUCAAAAUGUUGCGAGUAGAACUGUUGGGAGUCGUUCCUUUCGAACCCAUCCGCUCGAUCAUGUCAAUGGUGACGGGUAAUGCUUCAUCUUGGCCCCAACCCCCAAGAGUUGGGCGAAACAGGGAGGUAAAGUCAAGAGGGUUCACUCAAAUCGUCCUCUCCAAGAAGAAUAAAGCAUUGUCAGCUUCCACCAAUCCGCCAUUUCUGCAUUUGUUCACCACAAAGGUCACAAGUUCAGAUUGAUCCAUUGAAUCACUCACUCCAGCAGUGGAUGGGCAACCGUGGGAGCGACGUGAAAGAAAAUGGUUCGAUGCAAAGAUGGGAUGAGAAGUGAGAGGUUUAGCGAGAUCGCCAGAUUCUCGAACAAGACGGUGAAGAGCAGAAGUGCAAAUGGAUCGAUUCAUUCUCAUUAGUUUUGCCAAAUUUUCUCGUUCCGAGUUCAAGAAUCCACAAAUUGACGCGAUGGCGUAUGGAGAGGAUGAUUAUUAGGCAAUUCAAUCACUGAAACUUUAGAUGUCUGAUAACAACAUAGUUUUCGGUUCAAUCAUUGAAAACUACUUGAUUGGCAAACUGAACAUUUCUAGAAAUACUCUAAUCGAUUCAUUCCCAUACUCAGCAAUUGAAGAGAGGUCAGGAUGCAUAA